rnacentral:rRNA from 1 species
CGGGCCUUGUACACACCGCCCGUCACACCAUGAGAGUUGGUAACACCCGAAGUCCGUGAGGUAACCGUAAGGAGCCAGCGGCCGAAGGUGGGAUUGAUGAUUGGGGUGAAGUCGUAACAAGGUAGCCGUAGGAGAACCUGCGGCUGGAUCACCUCCUUUCUAGGGAG